ACUGGACACAUUCUGGGCAUGGGGCUGUGAGCCCUUCAAAGAAAACCUAUUGUCAACCUGUGGGACAAGGAACAUGGGACGUGGAGCACUGCCAUCAUUGUUGACCUUGUUUGGCUGACAAUCACUUCUCCUUCCUGCCGCCUCAUGAAGAAGGUGCCUUGCCUCCCCUUUGCCUUCCAUCAUGAUUUGUUUUGCUAUCACUAACAUGCUUUGAUGACAUUCUUCAAUUCAUAUCAGAUCUCCCCAUGUUUAUUAGGAUGGUCUCAAACUCCUGGCCUCAAACGAUUCUACCGACUUGGCCUCCCGAAGGGCUGGGGUUAAAGGCAUGAGCCACCAUCUUUAGUCUAGAACAGUUUUCAAGUUCACAUGGAACAAAACUUCAGUUUUCUUUGUUUUUUUUGGUAAAUAAAAGGAUAACCAAAGCAAAA
rnacentral:lncRNA from 1 species